rnacentral:rRNA from 1 species
AUGAACGCUAGCUACAGGCUUAACACAUGCAAGUCGAGGGGCAGCAUUUUAGUUUGCUUGCAAACUAAAGAUGGCGACCGGCGCACGGGUGAGUAACACGUAUCCAACCUGCCGAUAACUCGGGGAUAGCCUUUCGAAAGAAAGAUUAAUAUCCGAUGGUAUAUUAAAACCGCAUGGUUUUACUAUUAAAGAAUUUCGGUUAUCGAUGGGGAUGCGUUCCAUUAGUUUGUUGGCGGGGUAACGGCCCACCAAGACUACGAUGGAUAGGGGUUCUGAGAGGAAGGUCCCCCACAUUGGAACUGAGACACGGUCCAAACUCCUACGGGAGGCAGCAGUGAGGAAUAUUGGUCAAUGGACGAGAGUCUGAACCAGCCAAGUAGCGUGAAGGAUGACUGCCCUAUGGGUUGUAAACUUCUUUUAUAUGGGAAUAAAGUAUUCCACGUGUGGAAUUUUGUAUGUACCAUAUGAAUAAGGAUCGGCUAACUCCGUGCCAGCAGCCGCGGUAAUACGGAGGAUCCGAGCGUUAUCCGGAUUUAUUGGGUUUAAAGGGAGCGUAGGUGGAUUGUUAAGUCAGUUGUGAAAGUUUGCGGCUCAACCGUAAAAUUGCAGUUGAAACUGGCAGUCUUGAGUACAGUAGAGGUGGGCGGAAUUCGUGGUGUAGCGGUGAAAUGCUUAGAUAUCACGAAGAACUCCGAUUGCGAAGGCAGCUCACUAGACUGCAACUGACACUGAUGCUCGAAAGUGUGGGUAUCAAACAGGAUUAGAUACCCUGGUAGUCCACACAGUAAACGAUGAAUACUCGCUGUUUGCGAUAUACAGUAAGCGGCCAAGCGAAAGCAUUAAGUAUUCCACCUGGGGAGUACGCCGGCAACGGUGAAACUCAAAGGAAUUGACGGGGGCCCGCACAAGCGGAGGAACAUGUGGUUUAAUUCGAUGAUACGCGAGGAACCUUACCCGGGCUUAAAUUGCAUUUGAAUAAUCUGGAAACAGGUUAGCCGCAAGGCAAAUGUGAAGGUGCUGCAUGGUUGUCGUCAGCUCGUGCCGUGAGGUGUCGGCUUAAGUGCCAUAACGAGCGCAACCCUUAUCUUUAGUUACUAACAGGUCAUGCUGAGGACUCUAGAGAGACUGCCGUCGUAAGAUGUGAGGAAGGUGGGGAUGACGUCAAAUCAGCACGGCCCUUACGUCCGGGGCUACACACGUGUUACAAUGGGGGGUACAGAAGGCAGCUACCUGGCGACAGGAUGCUAAUCCCAAAAACCUCUCUCAGUUCGGAUCGAAGUCUGCAACCCGACUUCGUGAAGCUGGAUUCGCUAGUAAUCGCGCAUCAGCCAUGGCGCGGUGAAUACGUUCCCGGGCCUUGUACACACCGCCCGUCACACCACGAGAGUUUGUAACACCCGAAGUCGGUGAGGUAACCUUUUAGGAGCCAGCCGCCUAAGGUGGGAUAGAUGAUUGGGGUG